UCUCUAAAUCAUCCGUUGGGAGAGCGGCUUUACCUGGUUACAAAAAGGCUCUCAGGAGAGCGUACCAGCGAAGAGAUCUGCCAACAAAAUCUUUGGAUAUCUUAAUUUCUUCGUUAUCUGGUUUGAACUUUGACGACAGACGCAGCUUUCUUAGCAUUUAAAAAGGGUAAAGUAAACACUAGCUAUGCCUCUCCAUUCUUCAAUGUUUUGAUGUGAUCUGAUAUCUUAAUAUUCGCACCUCCUUCUGAUAUCACAAUAUUGUUUAACUUUAUAAGAGACACAGCUUGGACCCUCUUAGUAAUCGCUAAGACUAGUAAGAAUACCAGCUUAAAUGUAGAAAUGAAAUGAAGACCUUCUAUACAUCGUCGAUAUUAACAGAUUUUCCAAAAUCUCCUAACAUGACUUAUGCACAAACUCAUGCAGCCAAUGUAGAGUGACUACCAUAAUUGGCGACGAAGUUGUUGUUACAACGAAGAAGUUGUUAAUACAUUAGUAACAGUUUUUACCAAUGAAGACAAAGCAUGUAAUGAUUACAACAACCUUCAGGAAUUGGGCAAAAUUCUCGUCCCUUAAUAAUCGAUUACUAUCUUGCAAAUGCUAGAAGGACAGAGUUCUUGAAGUUCUAUGCCAACUUUUUUGCGCUGUGAAAAUGGUGUGUGUAGUUUCCGCAACCGGCCGACUGUUGCAUCUAUAUAUGUUGUAUGUUGCGUGUUAAAUAAUAUUUAAAUUUUCCGAUUUUCAAGGAAUCUACGUACGGCUUAACGACAAAUAGAAUAAUAUACGUAUUUAAUAAAAUUUAAGAUAAAAUGUUUAUCGACUCUACUAUACUUAA
rnacentral:lncRNA from 1 species